CAGCCGCCGCGGGAAUACGUAGGGUGCAAGCGUUAAUCGGAAUUACUGGGCGUAAAGCGUGCGCAGGCGGUUAUAUAAGACAGAUGUGAAAUCCCCGGGCUCAACCUGGGAACUGCAUUUGUGACUGUAUAGCUAGAGUACGGCAGAGGGGGAUGGAAUUCCGCGUGUAGCAGUGAAAUGCGUAGAUAUGCGGAGGAACACCGAUGGCGAAGGCAAUCCCCUGGGCCUGUACUGACGCUCAUGCACGAAAGCGUGGGGAGCAAACAGGAUUAGAUACCCCAGUAGUCCCUGUCUCUUAUCC
rnacentral:rRNA from 1 species